UGCUCAAUGAAAUAUAUUUUAAAUGGCCGCGGUAUUUUGACCGUGCGAAGGUAGCAUAAUCAUUUGUCUUUUAAUUGAAGGCUUGUAUGAAUGGUUGGAUGAGGGAAUAACUUUCUUUACAUUAUUAUUAUUGAAUUUAAUUUUUGAGUUAAAAAGCUCAAAUUUUUUAAUGGGACGAGAAGACCCUAUAGAAUUUUAUUUUUAUUAUUAAUAAUUUAUUAUUUUGGUUUAUUGUUUUAUUUAUUUAUUUAAAAAUUUUGUUGGGGUGACAGUAAGAUUCCCUUAACUCUUAUAAAUAAUUACUUAUUGAUUUGUAUAUUUUUGAUCCUUUAUUUAGGAUAAUUAGAUUAAAUUACCUUAGGGAUAACAGCGUAAUUCUACUGGAGAGUUCUUAUUGAUAGUGGAGUUUGCGACCUCGAUGUUGGAUUAAAAUAAGAUUUAAGUGCAGAAGCC
rnacentral:rRNA from 1 species